rnacentral:tRNA from 3 species
GCCGAAGUGGCGAAAUCGGUAGACGCAGUUGAUUCAAAAUCAACCGUAGAAAUACGUGCCGGUUCAAGUCCGGCCUUCGGCACCA